rnacentral:rRNA from 1 species
UGGGGAAUUUUGGACAAUGGGCGAAAGCCUGAUCCAGCCAUGCCGCGUGCAGGAUGAAGGCCUUCGGGUUGUAAACUGCUUUUGUACGGAACGAAAAGACUCUUUCUAAUAAAGAGGGUCCAUGACGGUACCGUAAGAAUAAGCACCGGCUAACUACGUGCCAGCAGCCGCGGUAAUACGUAGGGUGCAAGCGUUAAUCGGAAUUACUGGGCGGAAAGCGUGCGCAGGCGGUUAUAUAAGACAGAUGUGAAAUCCCCGGGCUCAACCUGGGAACUGCAUUUGUGACUGUAUAGCUAGAGUACGGUAGAGGGGGAUGGAAUUCCGCGUGUAGCAGUGAAAUGCGUAGAUAUGCGGAGGAACACCGAUGGCGAAGGCAAUCCCCUGGACCUGUACUGACGCUCAUGCACGAAAGCGUGGGGAGCAAACA